GAUGAACGCUGGCGGCGUGCCUAAUACAUGCAAGUCGAGCGAACGGACGAGAAGCUUGCUUCUCUGAUGUUAGCGGCGGACGGGUGAGUAACACGUGGAUAACCUACCUAUAAGACUGGGAUAACUUCGGGAAACCGGAGCUAAUACCGGAUGAUAUUUUGAACCGCAUGGUUCAAAAGUGAAAGACGGUCUUGCUGUCACUUAUAGAUGGAUCCGCGCUGCAUUAGCUAGUUGGUACGGUAACGGCUUACCAAGGCAACGAUGCAUAGCCGACCUGAGAGGGGGAUCGGCCACACUGGAACUGAGACACGGUCCAGACUCCUACGGGAGGCAGCAGUAGGGAAUCGUCCGCAAUGGGCGAAAGCCUGACGGAGCAACGCCGCGUGAGUGAUGAAGGUCUUCGGAUCGUAAAACUCUGUUAUGAGGGAAGAACAUAUGUGUAAGUAACUGUGCACAUCGUGACGGUACCUAAUCAGAAAGCCACGGCUAACUACGUG
rnacentral:rRNA from 1 species